GCCGCCGGCUGCGGCCCAGGGCGGCUGCUGGAGCCUGGCGUCCCUUGGGCGUGCGCAUUGGGGAGCGCCUGGUGGCCGUGGACGCAGGGACAAGUGUGGGCCUGAUGCUCUGGUCCUCUUCUCCUGGCCCGCUCCGGCGGGGCACGUGCCCAGCUGCUCUUCCAGACCCGCCUUCCCUGUCAGGGCUGCCCCAAACAUCUGCUCAGCCUGGUGGUUCCCCU
rnacentral:lncRNA from 1 species